UACGUAGGGUGCAAGCGUUGUCCGGAAUUAUUGGGCGUAAAGAGCGUGUAGGCGGCCCGAUUAGUCCGCUGUGAAAGUCCAGGGCUCAACCCUGGAAUGCCGGUGGAUACUGUCGGGCUAGAGUCCGGAAGGGGCGAGUGGAAUUCCUGGGUGUAGCGGUGAAAUGCGCAGAUAUCAGGAGGACCACCAAUGGCGAAGGCAGCUCGCUGGGACGUGACUGACGCUGAGACGCGGAAAGCGUGGGGAGCAAACAGG
rnacentral:rRNA from 1 species